rnacentral:lncRNA from 1 species
GCAAGUGCUCAAAGUUCAUGCAGAUAAUAGAGAAGCUUCAUCAACUGUUUGUGCAUGGCUUCUUCCUUUGAUAGGACAUAUUACGAGUGAAUAUUCACAUCUCACAACUUCCUCAAAGGGUAAGGAUAUUCAACUACUGCCAGCAGCUCACAUGUACUCAAUUUGGGUGGAAACGUGGAGCAGAAAACUUUACUAUGGUGAGAUAAAAAGAGACCAGCUACCUCCUAAAACCUUGGCUAUUGGUAAGGAAGGAAUUCAACCAUGAUUAAAGUGACUUUCAACUUGUAGUAACUAGUUUGUAGACUUUCUGCUAAAUUUUACUAUUUGCUAAUAAAUAGAAACUUCUAUAAUAAAGACAGUGACA